rnacentral:piRNA from 1 species
CAUAGACAUAUAGAAAUAUAAACACCC